CUACGGGCUGCAGCAGUGGGGAAUAUUGGGCAAUGGGCGAAAGCCUGACCCAGCAACGCCGCGUGAAGGAAGAAGGUUUUCGGAUCGUAAACUUCUAUCCCAGAUGAAGAUAAUGACGGUAAUCUGGAAGGAAGCCCCGGCUAACUACGUGCCAGCAGCCGCGGUAAUACGUAGGGGGCAAGCGUUGUCCGGAAUGAUUGGGCGUAAAGGGCGCGUAGGCGGCCAUGUAAGUCCGACGUGAAAGUCCUGCUUUUAAGGUGGGAAGUGCGUUGGAAACUGUGUGGCUUGAGUGCAGGAGAGGUAAGUGGAAUUCCCGGUGUAGCGGUGAAAUGCGUAGAGAUCGGGAGGAACACCAGUGGCGAAGGCGACUUACUGGACUGUAACUGACGCUGAGGCGCGAAAGUGUGGGGAGCAAACAGGAUUAGAUACCCGAGUAGUC
rnacentral:rRNA from 1 species